UGCCUUAGUUCAGUGGUAGAGCAUCUGCUUUGCAUGCAGAAGGUCCCAGGCAUUUCCAAAUGGGACUGAGAAAGACCCCUGGAGGAGUAU